rnacentral:rRNA from 1 species
CGCGUUAACGAACGAGACCUUACUCUGCUAAAUAGCCAGGCUAGCUUUGGCUGGUCGCCGGCUUCUUAGAGAGACUAUCAACUCAAGUUGAUGGAAGUUUGAGGCAAUAACAGGUCUGUGAUGCCCUUAGAUGUUCUGGGCCGCACGCGCGCUACACUGACAGAGCCAACGAGUUCUUCACCUUGGCCGAAAGGUCUGGGUAAUCUUGUUAACCUCCGUCGUGCUGGGGAUAGUCCUUUGCAAUUUUCGGACUUCAACGAGGAAUUCCUAGUAAUCACGAUUCAUCAGAUCGUGGUGAUUACGUCCCUGCCCUUUGUACACACCGCCCGUCGCUAGUACCGAUUGAAUGGCUUC